rnacentral:rRNA from 1 species
CGGAUCCAGACUUUGAUUAUGGCUCAGGAUGAACGCUAGCUACGGGCUUAACACAUGCAAGUCGAGGGGAAACGACAUCGAAAGCUUGCUUUUGAUGGGCGUCGACCGGCGCACGGGUGAGUAACGCGUAUCCAACCUGCCCAUCACUUGGGGAUAACCUUGCGAAAGUAAGACUAAUACCCAAUGACGUCUCUAGAAGACAUCUGAAGGAGAUUAAAGAUUUAUCGGUGAUGGAUGGGGAUGCGUCUGAUUAGCUUGUUGGCGGGGUAACGGCCCACCAAGGCGACGGUCAGUAGGGGUUCUGAGAGGAAGGUCCCCCACAUUGGAACUGAGACACGGUCCAAACUCCUACGGGAGGCAGCAGUGAGGAAUAUUGGUCAAUGGACGAGAGUCUGAACCAGCCAAGUAGCGUGCAGGAUGACGGCCCUAUGGGUUGUAAACUGCUUUUAUAAGGGAAUAAAGUGAGUCUCGUGAGACUUUUUGCAUGUACCUUAUGAAUAAGGACCGGCUAAUUCCGUGCCAGCAGCCGCGGUAAUACGGAAGGUCCGGGCGUUAUCCGGAUUUAUUGGGUUUAAAGGGAGCGUAGGCCGGAGAUUAAGCGUGUUGUGAAAUGUAGACGCUCAACGUCUGCACUGCAGCGCGAACUGGUUUCCUUGAGUACGCACAAAGUGGGCGGAAUUCGUGGUGUAGCGGUGAAAUGCUUAGAUAUCACGAAGAACUCCGAUUGCGAAGGCAGCUCACUGGAGCGCAACUGACGCUGAAGCUCGAAAGUGCGGGUAUCGAACAGGAUUAGAUACCCUGGUAGUCCGCACGGUAAACGAUGGAUGCCCGCUGUUGGUCUGAAUAGGUCAGCGGCCAAGCGAAAGCCAUUAAGCAUCCCACCUGGGGAGUACGCCGGCAACGGUGCAAA